rnacentral:lncRNA from 1 species
CUACCCCUGCCCCAUAGCUUCCCCCUGACCCAUAGCUAGUUCUGACCCACAGUUAGCUCAGCCCCACAGCUCUCCCUGACCCAUAGCUCUCUCCUGCCCCACAGCUAGCUCUGCCCCACAGCUCUCCCUGCCCCACAACUAGCUUAGCCCCAUAGCUCUCUCCUGCCCCAUAGCUACCCCUGCCCCAUAGCCAGCUCCUGCCCCAUAGCUCUCCCCUACCCCACAGCUUCCCCCUGCCCCAUAGCUCUCUCUGCCCCAUACCCAGGCUCCCCCAUUUCUUGGUCCGUGCUGGAGCUUUGGGCUCAGUUCUGGAGAUUUUGGGUCCGGGGAGGAUCCCCUGGGAUCGCUCAGGAGUUUUUGGGUCCAAAAAGGAGAUUUUUGGGUCCGUCUCAGAGUCCUUCCAAUCCUGCUGGCAUUUUGGGGUCCAUCCUGGACGUUUUGGGACCGUGAUAAGAUUUUGGGUCCAUAAUGGAGAUUUUUGGGUCCAUAAUGGAGUUUUUGGGUCCAUAAUGGAGAUUUUUGGUCCAUCCU